rnacentral:rRNA from 1 species
GUAGUCUGCAACUCGACUACAUGAAGCUGGAAUCGCUAGUAAUCGCGAAUCAGCAUGUCGCGGUGAAUACGUUCCCGGGUCUUGUACACACCGCCAGUCACACCAUGGGAGUCGGUAACGCCCGAAGUCAGUGACCCAACCGAAAGGAGGGAGCUGCCGAAGGCGGGACUGGUAACUGGGGUGAAGUCGUAACAAGGUAGC